rnacentral:rRNA from 1 species
CAGUAGCCGCGGUAAUACGGAGGGGGCUAGCGUUGUUCGGAAUUACUGGGCGUAAAGCGCACGUAGGCGGCUUUGUAAGUCAGAGGUGAAAGCCCGGGGCUCAACCCCGGAAUUGCCUUUGAGACUGCAUCGCUUGAAUCCAGGAGAGGUGAGUGGAAUUCCGAGUGUAGAGGUGAAAUUCGUAGAUAUAGGAAGGAACACCAGUGGCGAAGGCGACCACCUGGACUGAUACUGACACUGAGGUGCGAAAGCGUGGGGAGCAAACAGGAUUAGAUACCCCCGUAGUCCCUGUCUCUUAUAC